AACGAACGCUGGCGGCGUGGAUAAGACAUGCAAGUCGAGCGCUGAUUACAGGGUAGCAAUAUUCUGUAGUCGGAGCGGCGCAAGGGUGCGUAACACGUGGGUAAUCUGCCAUGAAGUCUGGAAUAACUUGCUGAAAGGCGAGCUAAUGCCGGAUGUGAAAGCUGAGAGGCAUCUCUUGGCUUUUAAAGCUGGGGACCGUAAGGCCUGGCGCUUCUUGAUGAACCCGCGGCCUAUCAGCUAGUUGGUGAGGUAACGGCCCACCAAGGCUAAGACGGGUAGCUGGUCUGAGAGGACGACCAGCCACACUGGAACUGAGACACGGUCCAGACACCUACGGGUGGCAGCAGUCGAGAAUUUUUCACAAUGGGCGCAAGCCUGAUGGAGCGACGCCGCGUGGGGGAUGAAUGGCUUCGGCCCGUAAACCCCUGUCAUUUGCGAUCAACCGUUAUUGUUUAAGAGAUGAUAACCUGAUAGUAGCGAAAGAGGAAGGGACGGCUAACUCUGUG
rnacentral:rRNA from 1 species